GGUUCCAUGUGGUGUAAUGGUUAGCACUCUGGACUCUGAAUCCAGCGAUCGAGAGUUCAAAUCUCGGUGGAACCU
rnacentral:tRNA from 1 species